AUUGAACGCUGGCGGCAGGCUUAACACAUGCAAGUCGAGCGGGGGAAGGUAGCUUGCUACCGGACCUAGCGGCGGACGGGUGAGUAAUGCUUAGGAAUCUGCCUAUUAGUGGGGGACAACAUCUCGAAAGGGAUGCUAAUACCGCAUACGUCCUACGGGAGAAAGCAGGGGAUCUUCGGACCUUGCGCUAAUAGAUGAGCCUAAGUCGGAUUAGCUAGUUGGUGGGGUAAAGGCCUACCAAGGCGACGAUCUGUAGCGGGUCUGAGAGGAUGAUCCGCCACACUGGGACUGAGACACGGCCCAGACUCCUACGGGAGGCAGCAGUGGGGAAUACUGGACAAUGGGGGGAAACCUGAUCCAGCCAUGCCGCGUGUGUGAAGAAGGCCUUAUGGUUGUAAAGCACUUUAAGCGAGGAGGAGGCUACUCUAGUUAAUACCUAGGGAUAGUGGACGUUACUCGCAGAAUAAGCACCGGCUAACUCUGUGCCAGCCGCCGCCGUAA
rnacentral:rRNA from 1 species